UACGUAGGGUGCGAGCGUUGUCCGGAAUUAUUGGGCGUAAAGAGCUCGUAGGCGGUCUGUCGCGUCGGAUGUGAAAAUCCAGGGCUCAACCCUGGACCUGCAUUCGAUACGGGCAGACUAGAGUUCGGCAGGGGAGACUGGAAUUCCUGGUGUAGCGGUGAAAUGCGCAGAUAUCAGGAGGAACACCGGUGGCGAAGGCGGGUCUCUGGGCCGAUACUGACGCUGAGGAGCGAAAGCGUGGGGAGCAAACAGG
rnacentral:rRNA from 1 species